CGAUAAGGGUUAACCAUUAUUGCAUUAAUCUUUUGCCAUUUUUGCCUCUUUCAACAAUCAAAAAAGUGGCAAAAAACGGACGGAAGUUUAAUUAAGGAGUUAGUCGAAGGCUAAACACUAGAAAAUGUUAUUAAUUUUAAAUUGUUAUCGAAAGAACUCGAUAAUACAUAUUGUAAUAUUAAUGUAAUGAGAACCUGCUCUAGAAUUCAGUUAUUAAUGUUCACCCAGUCUGGCACUGUUUAUUAUCUUGAUGACAGAAUGUUUUGUUCAGUUUCAAAUGUGUAGCGGUACUAGAAGAUAAAUAAAGUGCUGUAGAUAGUAAUUAAAAGUAAAUUCAAACAGAGAACAUAAAUCUCAGUGGUGCUCAGUUCACAAAAUAUAUUGGGGGGAGAAUUUAGAUCGCAAACACAAUGACAUAUGACCUCCAAAAAAUCUAGU
rnacentral:lncRNA from 1 species